UGGAGACUCAAGAUCCUGAGUUACAAGCUUCCCCCUCUGCCAGUGCUGCCUUCACAUUGAUACCUAUGUUUUGCCAGCCUAAAUGAGGUAGCUGUACAAAGCUUAUGGGAAGAGAAGCAUGCAAGGAUUUGGGAGAUCUGAAAGGAAAGUGAUUUGAUUCGACCCACCCAGAAACCCCGACUGAGAGCUCUCCUCUAUGAUGACUUUUCUUAUGAGUGGACAUAUGCUGCCUUCCCUAGCACCAUUUCAAACAUAAUCAACCCAUGGAUACCAACUGGUACCUGGAGCUGCCUGCCAGCUCAAACAAUGAAACUUUCCCAUUGAAGAUGGGCUUUGUCCUGCUAACCAGACAGAGUUGUGUCUGCCUGGGGAUUGACAGCAACUGUGUUGGUGCUGAGCCACAAACCAAACAAAACUCCAAGGGGUUUGGAGUUUAGACAAUAGCUGAAUUACAAGGACAUCGUCCCAGAAGAGACCAUGCUUAUUUUUGCAGACCUGUG